GAUGAACGCUGGCGGCGUGCCUAAUACAUGCAAGUCGAGCGAACAGACGAGGAGCUUGCUCCUCUGACGUUAGCGGCGGACGGGUGAGUAACACGUGGAUAACCUACCUAUAAGACUGGGAUAACUUCGGGAAACCGGAGCUAAUACCGGAUAAUAUAUUGAACCGCAUGGUUCAAUAGUGAAAGACGGUUUUGCUGUCACUUAUAGAUGGAUCCGCGCCGCAUUAGCUAGUUGGUAAGGUAACGGCUUACCAAGGCGACGAUGCGUAGCCGACCUGAGAGGGUGGUCGGCCACACUGGAACUGAGACACGGUCCAGACUCCUACGGGAGGCAGCAGUAGGGAAUCUUCCGCAAUGGGCGAAAGCCUGACGGAGCAACGCCGCGUGAGUGAUGAAGGUCUUCGGAUCGUAAAACUCUGUUAUUAGGGAAGAACAAAUGUGUAAGUAACUAUGCACGUCUUGACGGUACCGAAUCAGAAAGCCACGGCUAACUACGUG
rnacentral:rRNA from 1 species